rnacentral:piRNA from 1 species
UAUCACUUGUGAUGUGUGGAAUAAGCUACU